rnacentral:rRNA from 1 species
CACGUAGGGGGCGAGCGUUGUCCGGAAUUAUUGGGCGUAAAGGGCGCGCAGGCGGUCUCUUAAGUCUGAUGUGAAAGGCCACGGCUCAACCGUGGGAUGGAAUUGGAAACUGGGGGACUUGAGUGCAGGAGAGGGGAGCGGAAUUCCCGGUGUAGCGGUGAAAUGCGUAGAGAUCGGGAGGAACACCAGUGGCGAAGGCGGCUCUCUGGCCUGUAACUGACGCUGAGGCGCGAAAGCGUGGGGAGCGAAC